CCAGAUUGGUUUGAAUUGGAAGGGAACUUAAAGUCCAUCCAGUCCUACCCCCUGCCAUGGGCAGGGACACCUUCCACUAGCCCAGGUUGCUCCAAGCCCCAUCCAACUUGGCCUUGGACACUUCCAGGGAUGGGGCAGCCACAAC